rnacentral:rRNA from 1 species
AACGUAUCUUUUGCAGGGGGAUAACUGACCGAAAGGACAGCUAAUACCGCAUAAGUCCGGGAGGAGAAAGGUGCAAAAGCAUCGGCAGAAGAGCGGCCCGCGGUCCAUCAGCUAGUUGGUGAGGUAAGGGCUUACCAAGGCGACGACGGAUAGCCGGCGUGAGAGCGUGGCCGGCCACAAGGACACUGAGAUACGGGUCCUACUCCUACGGGAGGCAGCAGUGCGGAAUUUUAGAUAAUGGAGGGAACUCUGAUCUAGCGACGCCGCGUGCAGGAAGAAGGUCUUCGGAUUGUAAACUGCUGUGGUAAGGGAAAAAUGCUAUGUAGAGUGGAAAGCUACAUAGAGGGAUGGUACCUUACUAGAAAGCCCCGGCUAACUACGUGCCAGCAGCCGCGGUAAUACGUAGGGGGCGAGCGUUACCCGGAAUCACUGGGCGUAAAGGGAGCGUAGGUGGCCUAACAUGUCAACUGUGAAAACCCGGAGCUCAACUCCGGACUUGCAGUUGAAACUGGUAGGCUUGAGGACGGUAGAGGAAGACGGAACUGCCAGUGUAGGGGUAAAAUCCUUAGAUAUUGGCAGGAACGCCGGUGACGAAGGUGGUUUUCUGGGCCGGUUCUGACACUGAUGCUCGAAAGCCAGGGGAGCGAACGGGAUUAGAUACCCCGGUAGU